CCCUUAGAUGCUCUGGGCCGCACGCGCGCUACACUGGUCGAUGCAACGAGUUUCUUUCCUUGGCCGACAGGCCUGGGCAAUCUUUGAACAUCGAUCGUGAUCGGGAUAGAUUCUUGUAAUUUUUGAUCUUAAACGAGGAAUUCCUAGUAAACGCAAGUCAUCAGCUUGCAUUGAUUACGUCCCUGCCCUUUGUACACACCGCCCGUCGCACCUACCGAUUGAAUGGUCCGGUGAAAUCUCCGGACUGGCGUGAGUCGGAGCAAUCUGACAAACGCCGGAAAGUUGAUUAAACCUUACCAUUUAGAGGAAGGUGAANUCGUANCA
rnacentral:rRNA from 1 species